CCUACGGGUGGCAGCAGUGAGGAAGAUUGGUCAAUGGGCGGAAGCCUGAACCAGCCAAGUAGCGUGCAGGAUGAAGGCCCUACGGGUUGUAAACUGCUUUUAUACGGGAAUAACGCGCCUUACGUGUAGGGCUUUGCAUGUACCGUAUGAAUAAGGACCGGCUAAUUCCGUGCCAGCAGCCGGGGUAAUACGGAAGGUCCGGGCGUUAUCCGGAUUUAUUGGGUUUAAAGGGAGCGUAGGCCGCGUGUCAAGCGUGCUGUUAAAUUGCCGGGCUCAACCCGGGCCUUGCAGCGCGAACUGGCGGGCUUGAGUCCGCGGAAAGCCGGCGGAAUUCGUCGUGUAGCGGUGAAAUGCUUAGAUAUGACGAAGAACCCCGAUUGCGAAGGCAGCUUGCUGCAGCGCAACUGACGCUGAUGCUCGAAAGCGCGGGUAUCGAACAGGAUUAGAUACCCUAGUAGUC
rnacentral:rRNA from 1 species